rnacentral:rRNA from 1 species
AUUGAACGCUGGCGGCACGCCUAACACAUGCAAGUCGAGCGGUAACAUGAUCUGUAGUAAUACAGAUUGAUGACGAGCGGCGGACGGGUGAGGAAAACGUAGGAACCUGCCCUUGAGAGGGGGACAACCAAGGGAAACUUUGGCUAAUACCGCAUAAUCUCGAGAGAGGAAAGUUGCUCGCAAGGGUGACACUCGAGGAGGGGCCUGCGUCCGAUUAGCUAGUUGGAGAGGUAAGAGCUCCCCAAGGCGAUGAUCGGUAACUGGUCUGAGAGGACGAGCAGUCACACUGGGACUGAGACACGGCCCAGACUCCUACGGGAGGCAGCAGUGGGGAAUAUUGGACAAUGGGGGCGACCCUGAUCCAGCGAUGCCGCGUGGGUGAAGAAGGCCUUCGGGUUGUAAAGCCCUUUAGGUUGGGAAGAAGGGUAUGGGUGGAAAUACUCAUACUUUGACGGUACCGACAGAAUAAGCACCGGCAAACUCUGUGCCAGCCGCCGCAGUAA